AUUGAACGCUGGCGGCAGGCCUAACACAUGCAAGUCGAACGGUAACAGGAAGCAGCUUGCUGCUUUGCUGACGAGUGGCGGACGGGUGAGUAAUGUCUGGGAAACUGCCCGAUGGAGGGGGAUAACUACUGGAAACGGUAGCUAAUACCGCAUAACGUCGCAAGACCAAAGAGGGGGACCUUAGGGCCUCUUGCCAUCGGAUGUGCCCAGAUGGGAUUAGCUAGUAGGUGGGGUAACGGCUCACCUAGGCGACGAUCCCUAGCUGGUCUGAGAGGAUGACCACCAACACUGGAACUGAGACACGGUCCAGACUCCUACGGGAGGCAGCAGAGGGGAACAUUGCACAAUGGGCGAAAGCCUGAUGCAGACCUGCCGCGUGUAUGAAGAAGGCCUUCGGGUUGUAAAGUACUUUCAGCGGGGAGGAAGGGAGUAAAGUUAAUACCUUUACUCAUUGACGUUACCCGCAGAAGAAGCACCGGCUAACUCCGUG
rnacentral:rRNA from 1 species